AGUGAACGCUGGCGGUAGGCCUAACACAUGCAAGUCGAACGGCAGCACAGUAAGAGCUUGCUCUUACGGGUGGCGAGUGGCGGACGGGUGAGGAAUACAUCGGAAUCUACUUUUUCGUGGGGGAUAACGUAGGGAAACUUACGCUAAUACCGCAUACGACCUACGGGUGAAAGCAGGGGAUCUUCGGACCUUGCGCGAUUGAAUGAGCCGAUGUCGGAUUAGCUAGUUGGCGGGGUAAAGGCCCACCAAGGCGACGAUCCGUAGCUGGUCUGAGAGGAUGAUCAGCCACACUGGAACUGAGACACGGUCCAGACUCCUGCGGGAGGCAGCAGUGGGGAAUAUUGGACAAUGGGCGCAAGCCUGAUCCAGCCAUACCGCGUGGGUGAAGAAGGCCUUCGGGUUGUAAAGCCCUUUUGUUGGGAAAGAAAAGCAGCAGGUUAAUACCCCGCUGUUCUGACGGUACCCAAAGAAUAAGCACCGGCUAGCUUCGUG
rnacentral:rRNA from 1 species